CAGGGAAGGUGAUUGGCUGUUUAGUCAGAACCAGGGAAGGUGAUUGGCUGUUUAGUCAGAACCAGGGAAGGUGAUUGGCUGUUUAGUCAGAACCAGGGAAGGUGAUUGGCUGUUUAGUCGGAACCAGGGAAGGUGAUUGGCUGUUUAGUCAGAACCAGGGAAGGUGAUUGGCUGUUUAGUCAGAACCAGGGAAGGUGAUUGGCUGUUUAGUCAGAACCAGGGAAGGUGAUUGGCUGUUUGACUGUUCUCUUCCUGUUUCUCAGAAUUAGACCUGGAUGGCUUUCUGGAACAGGAGGAUUUUCCUUUUGACUUCAAUGGUAAGUUACACACACACACACACACACACACACACACACACACACACACACACACACACACACACACACACACACACACACACACACACAGUGACUGGCUGAUUGACUCAAAGCAUUUUUCUCCCGUUUCAGAUGCGCUGUUUGACCUGGACUUUAAUGUGGACAUACAGACUGGUGAGGUUGCCAUACCGACAGCUGUGGCCGAGCCAGGCGACCAGAAACAGAACUGCGAGACACAGAGAGAGCUUGGUGACGGACAGAGGAAGAGGAGAGAGACAGAGCCUGGUGACGGACAGAGGAAGAGGGGAUCGACAGAGGCUGGUGACGGACAGAGGAAGAGGAGAGCGACAGAGCCUGGUGACAGACAGAGGAAGAAAGCGAAGAGGAGAGCGACAGAGCCUGUGGACGGACAGAGGAAGAGAGAGACUCAGACAGACUCUCCCAUCAGAGGUUGUGCUGGUUCUCCUCCCCUCUCGGCCGUGACUCUCUCUCCUCCUCCUCCAGACUUGUCCAGAUCGCUCCUUCUCUCCUUUACAUUCCUGGGUUUGGGACUGCUACUUUCGUCUCUUCGUGUAGCAGUAAGUGUGAUGAUGAUGAUGAUGAUGGUUUCCUCACAAUGAAGAGUUAAUGCU
rnacentral:lncRNA from 1 species